CAACCUACGGGGCGCAGCAGUGAGGAAUAUUGGUCAAUGGGCGGGAGCCUGACCCAGCCAAGCCGCGUGAAGGAAGAAUGCGCCAUGCGUCGUAAACUUCUUUUGUCGGGGAACAAAGUGCUCCACGUGUGGCGUUUUGAGUGUACCCGAAGAAAAAGCAUCGGCUAACUCCGUGCCAGCAGCCGCGGUAAUACGGAGGAUCCGAGCGUUAUCCGGAUUUAUUGGGUUUAAAGGGUGCGUAGGCGGUCCGUUAAGUCAGCUGUAAAAGCUCGGGGCUCAACC
rnacentral:rRNA from 1 species